GGAGGGGUGGCAGAGCGGUUUAAUGCACUGGUCUUGAAAACCAGCGAGGGUGAAAGUCCUCCGUCGGUUCGAAUCCGACCUCCUCCGCCA
rnacentral:tRNA from 1 species